UCCAGGAAAAGCCACUAAGCUUCAGCUACACACGACCGUACCGCAAACCGACACUGGUGCGCGAGAUGAGUAUUCUAAGGCGCUUGAGAGAACUCUGGAGAAGGAACUCGGCAAAUUGACACCGUAACUUCGGAAGAAGGUGUGCCUUUAGUAGGUGAAGUCCCUCGCGGAUGGAGCCCAAUGAGGUUGCAAAAAAUCGGUGGCUGCGACUGUUUAUUAAAAACACAGCACUCUGCAAACACGAAAGUGGACGUAUAGGGUGUGACGCCUGCCCGGUGCUGGAAGAUUAAAUGAUGGGGUGCAAGCUCUUGAUUGAAGUCCCAGUAAACGGCGGCCGUAACUAUAACGGUCCUAAGGUAGCGAAAUUCCUUGUCGGGUAAGUUCCGACCUGCACGAAUGGCGUAACGAUGGCCACACUGUCUCCUCCAGAGACUCAGCGAAGUUGAAAUGUUUGUGAUGAUGCAAUCUCCCCGCGGAAAGACGGAAAGACCCCAUGAACCUUUACUGUAGCUUUGUAUUGGACUUUGAACAGAUCUGUGUAGGAUAGGUGGGAGGCUUUGAAGCGGUGCCGCUAGGUAUCGUGGAGCCAACGUUGAAAUACCACCCUGGUGUGUUUGAGGUUCUAACCUAGGUCCAUUAUCUGGAUCGGGGACAGUGCAUGGUAGGCAGUUUGACUGGGGCGGUCUCCUCCCAAAGCGUAACGGAGGAGUUCGAAGGUACGCUAGUUACGGUCGGACAUCGUGACGAUAGUGCAAUGGCAUAAGCGUGCUUAACUGCGAGACUGACAAGUCGAGCAGAUGCGAAAGCAGGACAUAGUGAUCCGGUGGUUCUGUAUGGAAGGGCCAUCGCUCAACGGAUAAAAGGUACUCUGGGGAUAACAGGCUGAUACCGCCCAAGAGUUCAUAUCGACGGCGGUGUUUGGCACCUCGAUGUCGGCUCAUCUCAUCCUGGGGCUGUAGCCGGUCCCAAGGGUAUGGCUGUUCGCCAUUUAAAGAGGUACGUGAGCUGGGUUUAAAACGUCGUGAGACAGUUUGGUCCCUAUCUUCCGUGGGCGCUGCAGAUUUGAGGAAGCCUGCUCCUAGUACGAGAGGACCGGAGUGGACACACCUCUGGUGUAUCGGUUGUCACGCCAGUGGCAUUGCCGAGUAGCUAAGUGUGGAAGAGAUAACCGCUGAAAGCAUCUAAGCGGGAAACUCGUUUCAAGAUGAGAUCUGCCGGGGCCUUGAGCCCCCUAAAGAGUCGUUCAAGACCAGGACGUUGAUAGGUCAGGUGUGGAAGCGCAGUAAUGCGUUAAGCUAACUGAUACUAAUUGCUCGUGCGACUUGACCCU
rnacentral:rRNA from 1 species